AUUAAUAUAGUAAUCUUGAUCUUUACUCUUCCUUCUCUUAAAAGUUUCUCGUAACAAGUUAUUAACACCCAUAAGUUUGACUGCUAAAGAGACACCACUACUGCCACAAUCACCGUACCUUUUCCCUGCUCCAUGCCGUUGUUGCCAUCCUUCUUAUUACCGUCGACCAAGCUCAUGCACCGCAGCCACGCACUCUUCUUCAUCCUCCAUUUGUGUCAUGUUUGGUUAAACUGAGAAUAGUCUUUGAGACUACUCUGUACACAUGAAACCAAAGUAUGAUCGAAUGAGUGAUGGAGAUUGAGAGUUCGAAUGAUGAUUAUUGGAGAAUAAGCUAAGUGAGAUGAUUAAGUAUGUUCUAAUCAGAACAGUAGCAACAUCGAAGCUGACCAACAACAACAUAGAAGCACGAGCAGCAGCAUCAAUGAGGGCAAAUUUUCAUGGUAACAAUCUUCCUCAUCCUUGUAUCAUACAUGUUUCUCAAGGCAUUGGUCAACUCAUGAAUUGGUGUUCUUCUUGUUCACCUUGUUUUAACUGCAGCAGUUGAUAGUCUCAAAUGCUUGCCUUUCCUGCUGGUUAAGGGACGGGAAAUUUGGGAUGUUCGCAAAGGGGAGGAUCGUGGCUUGAGCUGAUCUAUAGUUGAUCCUGCUGAGAAUGUGAUCGGGAUAAGAUUGGUCGUUAAGCUACUACCCUAACAAAAUUAAUCAUUUAUAAUACCUAAACCUACACUAAACUAGUUAGUGGCA